GGCUCCCUCAAAAACACACUUCCUUGGAGAGGGACCUGGCGUUUACAUUUUAGAAAUUUUUUUUUGAAGUUCAUUUUUUCCCUCUGGUAUACGGAGUUCAUCAAUGCUACAAACUGCCUUUAUCCACCUGGAUAAGACUGAGGGACCUCACAGACAAAUUUCAUUUUGUGAUGGAUAACGUGGGAGCAAUCUUCAGCUAAAGUCUAGAUAAAGCCUUAAAGAGAAAAUUGAGCUCGGAAGACCUGAAAAUAAAGAAAACACCCUGGCACCAACAAGGGAGAGAAACAAAACAAAGAAGCUCACCAAAGAUGGUUUGACUGUGCAAAACCAUGGGUACGGUAACCAGUAACACCCUUAUUUUAUCAAGAUGUCUAUUGUAACAGGAUGUGUUUUCAAUAAAUGUAAAUGACCUGUAAA